rfam:Rattus norvegicus chromosome 6, whole genome shotgun sequence.
GGGGAUUUAGCUCAGUGGUAGAGCGUUUGCCUAGCAAGCGCAAGGCCCUGCAUUCAGUCCCCA